UCAAAACACACACGGUUCAUCAUUAUAGUCAAAACACACACGGUUCAUCAUUAUAGUCAAAACACACACGGUUCAUCAUUAUAGUCAAAACACACACGGUUCAUCAUUAUAGUCAAAACACACAUGGUUCAUCAUUAUAGUCAAAACACACAUGGUUCAUCAUUAUAGUCAAAACACACAUGGUUCAUCAUUAUAGUCAAAACACACAUGGUUCAUCAUUAUAGUCAAAACACACUUUGCUUUUAAACAACAAAUUAUAAAAUCCCAAUGUCGAUGCAUUCAUUGGGACAGUAUCAGAUGAGCAGUAUUGCAUUCUCCAUGUCGGCAGAGAGUAGACAGUAGGCCUUCUCUAGGGCCCUAGACCACAGAGAGUAGACAGUAGGCCUUCUCUAGGGCCCUAGACCACAGAGAGUAGACAGUAGGCCUUCUCCAGGGCCCUAGACCACAGAGAGUAGACAGUAGGCCUUCUCUAGGGCCCUAGACCUCAGAGAGUAGACAGUAGGCCUUCUCUAGGGCCCUAGACCAGAAACAACACAAACAGCCCAGAGACCAUAACUCAUUCAUGCGGUGAUGUCAGUGGGAGACUAAAUGGAAAUGUGACCUAAAUGGAAGUCAGGGGCCCCGCCAGGUUCUAGGAGUUCAAAUACUUUAUUUUCCAGGGGUCGGAGGUCAGCCAAGCAGGGAUGUCUGGGUCACUUUGCGCCUUCAGAGAUUACCAAUGUGAUCCUGGUUAAUCCACAUGCUAACUAUCAGCAGGCAGGGCCCCACACUGUUCUCUCUCUCACUCACUCAGCGUAGCCUAGUGGUUAGAGCGUUGGACUAGUAACCGGAAGGUUGCAAGUUCAAACCCCCGAGCCGACAAGGUACAAAUCUGUUGUUCUGCCCCUGAACAGGCAGUUAACCCACUGUUCCUAGGCCAUCAUUGAAAAUAAGAUUUUUUUAUUAACUGACUUGCCUGGUUAAAUAAAGGUAAACAUUUUAAAAAACUCACUCACACACCAAGAGAAAUCUACAGGAUCUGCUCUCUCUCUCUGAAUAGAAUAGAUGAUGUUUACACCACAGUAAACCAUGACGUCUGGUCUGGGCCACCGUGUUGGCAUCACCACCACCAGCAGAUUAAACAGAUCAGUGCCUGUCUUCACCUGUCAAUCACAGACGCAUGGCACCCUAUUCCCUUCAUAGUGCACUACUUUAGACCAGGUCCUUGGCACCCUAUUCCCUACAUAGUGCACUAUGUUAGACCUGGGUCCUGGUCCUGGGUGCCAUUUUGGAUGCACUCUUAGUGACCUUCAGUGCGAGAGCAGUUGAGGUCAGAAUGAAGUUGUUUAGCUUCACGUCCACCACACUAAGGGCUCAGAUUACGCGGUUGCCAGGGGAUUCCAAUAUCACAAGGUAAAAGAACACUACACACUGAUCGACUGAUGCUCCUGUGUGGUUUAUUGAAACAAUGUGAGGACUGGGAACACACUGUAACGAGACUCCCAUUAGUGACCCUCAGAGACAUUUAGAGUUGGGACGUUGACACGACACCACAAUAUUCUAAAGGCAGCCAUGUUGGUUCUCCAUUAACAUUUCACAGGGAAUAUUUAAACACGAUGCUAUAUAACUGGAUGUCUAGAAUUUAGAACAAUAUUCAAAGAGUUCUUUAAAAAAGCUAACUGAGCUUUUCUAAAUAUAUGGCUCUGCUGUCCACUUCAUUCAUCGCCCUUUGACCUCUUCCUACUGCGCAGCACCCUGACUGUGUGAUCUAUCCAGGUCACGGCAGUGGCACCGCUGUCAGAGUACAUUGUGUUCUACCCCAAGCUAGCCUGCGUGCCAAUCUGCUUCGGCUCUUCUGCCCGAAUACUCCUGGUGUUGUCAUGCCAACAAUGACAACGGAGGAGCAGGCCAAAUCUCAACCAGAUCUGGGGACCAGGCUGACGCCAAGCGGAGCUGGAACUCACAACGUUGGACCUAAUGGGCAACAUCACACGUCACUCGUAGUCAGCCGACAACAGUCUUCGCCAACAGAGCAAGAGAUUAGUCUGUCUCUCCAUGACAGAUGGCUUUACAUCUCAGUGAAGGUCACUGAUGAACUCCAGCCAACAUGCUACACCAGUGGUCCCCAAUCCUGGUCUUAGGAACCCAAAGGAGUUUCCCCCCUGAGCACUAAUACACUUCAUUCAACUAAUCAACAAGCUUUUUAUUAUUUCAAUCAGGUGUGAUAGUGCAAAAACAAAAAUGGUUCCCAAGGACCAGGAUUGGGAAACACUGACUACUACACCAUGUUAUGGUGAGCCUUCACCCUGCUGACUACUACACCAUGUUAUAGUUAUGGUGAGCCUUCACUCUGCCGACUACUACACCAUGUUAUGGUGAGCCUUCACUCUGCCGACUACUACACCAUGUUAUGGUGAGCCUUCACUCUGCCGACUACUACACCAUGUUAUGGUGAGCCUUCACUCUGCCGACUACUACACCAUGUUAUGGUGAGCCUUCACUCUGCUACUACUACACCAUGUUAUGAUGAGCCUUCACUCUGCUACUACUACACCAUGUUAUGGUGAGCCUUCACUCUGCUACUACUACACCAUGUUAUGGUGAGCCUUCAC
ensembl:lncRNA